UGGGGAAUUUUCCGCAAUGGGCGAAAGCCUGACGGAGCAAUGCCGCGUGGAGGUGGAAGGCCUACGGGUCGUCAACUUCUUUUCUCGGAGAAGAAACAAUGACCGUAUCUGAGGAAUAAGCAUCGGCUAACUCUUGCCUG
rnacentral:rRNA from 1 species